AUGGUUUAAGAAAUAAUUUAAUGUGGAAAAUAAAAACAUUUAGAGCGUAUGUUUACGUAUAAUGUUUAUAAAAGCUAUAUUAUCAAGAACCAAUCCAUUUUCAUAAUUGUUUUUCAUCAGUCUCUGAAAAUUGUAAAUGUUGUACACUCUUUAUUAAACUAUGGUAGAUGAAGUUUUUAAUUCCUGCCCAAUGUGAUAUCACUUCCUUCACUUCAGAGAGCCAAUCAAAUGAGAGUCAAAGCAAUUACCUGUGGGAGAGCAAGUUUAACCUUAAGAACCCAGUUACCAAGGCCUUCCCUUUAGUCUAGACUCUAGACUCAUUUAGAAUCUCGCAGUUAUCCAAGACAGUUUUUAUACAUUUUAGUACACAACUGCAAAAUGCUAUCCUUUUUCAUAUUGUGUGUUUACUUCACAAUAUAUUUCUGUUAGUGGUACAAUUUACUGCGCGUCAAAGUCAUAGAAUAUGAAUAUUGGCAAUAUUUGCAAUAUAGAAAAUUAUUUUGUUUAAAGCUAAUUUGGCGUAUGGCUGAUAUAUCAUUAUCAAGCUCCAUACCUGGGAGAAUAUUUUUGCUGGUGUUAAAUUUUUCUAAAUUUGACUAUCCUAUAGACUGUAAUCUUGUUUGAGCAGGGUCCUCUUCAACCCAUCGUUCC